rnacentral:misc_RNA from 1 species
GAUGAAGAACGCAGCGAAAUGCGAUAAGUAAUGUGAAUUGCAGAAUUCAGUGAAUCAUCGAAUCUUUGAACGCACAUUGCGCCCCCUGGUAUUCCGGGGGGCAUGCCUGUUCGAGCGUCAUUUCACCACUCAAGCCUCGCUUGGUAUUGGGCAACGCGGUCCGCCGCGUGCCUCAAAUCGACCGGCUGGGUCUUCUGUCCCCUAAGCGUUGUGGAAACUAUUCGCUAAAGGGUGUUCGGGAGGCUACGCCGUAAAACAACACCAUUUCUAAGGUUGACCUCGGAUCAGGUAGGGAUACCCGCUGAACUUAAGCAUAUCAAUAAGCGGAGGA